AACGAACGCUGGCGGCAUGCCUAACACAUGCAAGUCGAACGAGACCUCCGGGUGUAGUGGCGCACGCGUGUGUAGCGCGUGGGAACCUGCCCUUAGGUUCGGAAUAAUUCCCUGUAGGGGGUGCUAAUACCGGAUAACUUAUUCGGACAGAGGAUGUAUCGUCCUUGGAUGGGCCUGGGUUGUUUUAGCCUGUUGGUAGGGUAUAAGCCUACAAAGGCGUCGAUCCUUGGCUGGUCAGAGAGGAUGAUCAGCCACACUGCGACGGGGACACGGCCCAGACUCCUACGGGAGGGAGCAGGGGGGAAUAAUGGACAAUGGGCGAAAGCCUGAUCCAGCAAUGCCGCGUGAGUGAUGUAUGGCUUAGGAUUGUAAAGCGCUUUUAACCGGGAUGAUAAGAAGGGUACCGGGAAAAUAGGCCCGGGCAAACUCCGU
rnacentral:rRNA from 1 species